UUUGAUCCUGGCUCAGAUUGAACGCUGGCGGCAGGCCUAACACAUGCAAGUCGAGCGGCAGCACGGGAAGCUUGCUUCCUGGUGGCGAGCGGCGGACGGGUGAGUAAUGCACAGGAAUCUGCCCGGUAGUGGGGGAUAACCUGGGGAAACCCAGGCUAAUACCGCAUACGUCCUACGGGAGAAAGCAGGGGCUCUUCGGACCUUGCGCUAUCGGAUGAGCCUAUGUCGGAUUAGCUGGUUGGUGAGGUAAUGGCUCACCAAGGCGACGAUCCGUAGCUGGUCUGAGAGGAUGAUCAGCCACAUCGGGACUGAGACACGGCCCGAACUCCUACGGGAGGCAGCAGUGGGGAAUAUUGGACAAUGGGCGCAAGCCUGAUCCAGCCAUGCCGCGUGUGUGAAGAAGGCCCUCGGGUUGUAAAGCACUUUCAGUGGGGAAGAAAGCCUUCCGGUUAAUACCCGGGAGGAAGGACAUCACCCACAGAAGAAGCACCGGCUAACUCCGUGCCAGCAGCCGCGGUAAUACGGAGGGUGCGAGCGUUAAUCGGAAUUACUGGGCGUAAAGCGCGCGUAGGUGGCUUGAUAAGCCGGUUGUGAAAGCCCCGGGCUCAACCUGGGAACGGCAUCCGGAACUGUCAGGCUAGAGUGCAGGAGAGGAAGGUAGAAUUCCCGGUGUAGCGGUGAAAUGCGUAGAGAUCGGGAGGAAUACCAGUGGCGAAGGCGGCCUUCUGGACUGACACUGACACUGAGGUGCGAAAGCGUGGGUAGCAAACAGGAUUAGAUACCCUGGUAGUCCACGCCGUAAACGAUGUCGACUAGCCGUUGGGUCCUUCGCGGACUUUGUGGCGCAGUUAACGCGAUAAGUCGACCGCCUGGGGGAGUACG
rnacentral:rRNA from 1 species